AAGUCGUAACAAGGUCUCCGUAGGUGAACCUGCGGAGGGAUCAUUGCCAAAAAAAUCAAAAAGCGGACUUGUUCGUUUUUUAUUUAUCAUUCGCGCUUGUAUUGUUUGACAAAGUAUCAAUCUUUUUUAAAUGACAACUUUUAACAAUGGAUCUCUGGGCUCUU
rnacentral:misc_RNA from 1 species